AGAGUUUGAUCCUGGCUCAGGACGAACGCUGGCGGCGUGCCUAACACAUGCAAGUCGAGCGAGUGAAUCUCCUUCGGGAGUGAAGCUAGCGGCGGACGGGUGAGUAACACGUGGGCAACCUGCCUCAUAGAGGGGAAUAGCCUUCCGAAAGGAAGAUUAAUACCGCAUAAGAUUGUAGCUUCGCAUGAAGUAGCAAUUAAAGGAGCAAUCCGCUAUGAGAUGGGCCCGCGGCGCAUUAGCUAGUUGGUGAGGUAACGGCUCACCAAGGCGACGAUGCGUAGCCGACCUGAGAGGGUGAUCGGCCACAUUGGGACUGAGACACGGCCCAGACUCCUACGGGAGGCAGCAGUGGGGAAUAUUGCACAAUGGGGGAAACCCUGAUGCAGCAACGCCGCGUGAGUGAUGACGGCCUUCGGGUUGUAAAGCUCUGUCUUCAGGGACGAUAAUGACGGUACCUGAGGAGGAAGCCACGGCUAACUACGUGCCAGCAGCCGCGGUAAUA
rnacentral:rRNA from 1 species